CAGUCGCCACGGUAAUACGAAGGGGGCAAGCGUUGUUCGGAAUUAUUGGGCGUAAAGCGCACGUAGGCGGCUUGGUAAGUUAGAGGUGAAAGCCCGGAGCCCAACUCCGGAAUUGCCUUUAAGACUGCCGAGCUAGUAGGUGAGAGAGGUAAGUGGAAUUCCGAGUGUAGAGGUGAAAUUCGUAGAUAUUCGGAAGAACACCAGUGGCGAAGGCGGCUUACUGGCUCAUUCUAGACGCUGAGGUGCGAAAGCGUGGGGAGCAAACAGGAUUAGAUACCCCAGUAGUCCCUGUCUCUUAUAU
rnacentral:rRNA from 1 species